UACGAAGGGGGCGAGCGUUGUUCGGAUUUACUGGGCGUAAAGGGCGCGCAGGCGGCUCAUUUUGUCAGGCGUGAAAGCCCCGGGCUUAACCUGGGAACUGCGUUUGAUACGGAUGGGCUAGAGUUCGGGAGAGGAGAGUGGAAUUCCCAGUGUAGAGGUGAAAUUCGUAGAUAUUGGGAAGAAUACCGGUGACGAAGGCGGCUCUCUGGACCGAUACUGACGCUGAGGCGCGAAAGCGUGGGGAGCAAACAGG
rnacentral:rRNA from 1 species